CGAACGGGUGAGUAAUGCGUGACCAACCUGCCCCAUGCUCCAGAAUAGCUCUUGGAAACGGGUGGUAAUGCUGGAUGCUCCAACUUGACGCAUGUCUUGUUGGGAAAGUGUUUAGUGGCAUGGGAUGGGGUCGCGUCCUAUCAGCUUGUAGGCGGGGUAAUGGCCCACCUAGGCUUCGACGGGUAGCCGGCCUGAGAGGGCGGACGGCCACAUUGGGACUGAGAUACGGCCCAAACUCCUACGGGAGGCAGCAGCG
rnacentral:rRNA from 1 species